AUACAUUGCUCAAGGCAAAAAAUCAGUUCAUUCUGUGAUAAGGAAUGCUGCAGUGACCAUUAAAGAUCCUAACUUUGACCUCAUUGAUUUCUUAAACACUUACCCUGCUCAAAUUGGUCUCCUUGGUCUACAGAUCAUUUGGACAAUGGACUCAACUAAUGCACUGAAGAAUGCUCGAUCAGACAAGAAGAUAAUGGCUGCCACUGACCAAGCAUUCCUUGACUUGCUCAAUUCUCUCAUUGAAAUGACGACACAAGAACUGAACAAGAUUGAUAGAGUAAAGUACAAGACACUGAUCACAAUAGACCUUCAUCAGAGGGACGUAUUCAAUGACCUGGAAGAGGCUCAUCUUUCCUCGGUUCUUCUUUGUGUCUGAUCCAGCACUACUGGAGAUACUGGGACAAGCUUCAGACUCACACACUAUACAGGUCGUUUAGUUGGUCUUCAAGUUUUUUAACUAAGAGAGUUAGGAAUGACUACAUGCAUCUAUCAGUAGUUGAUGAAUGCAUUGAGUUUAACAGAAUAACCCCAAUUUUUAUUACAAUAUUGAUGUCCUUAUGCUUUGUAUGAAUUAAGUUUGAGCAGAUUCUAACUUCAAUUUUUCAAGUAAAGCCCAUUCUAUCCUUUUAUUAGAGUUUAAUUUGAUUAGACUAACAAUAAUCCACUACCAAAGAGUACCCCUCCAGUAUCAAGGACUGAUCUAUCUGUUCAAGAGGGUAUCUCCUCUCACAACUUUAAGUACUUCAUUAAAUAU